AUUGAACGCUGGCGGCAGGCCUAACACAUGCAAGUCGAACGAGUGGCGGACGGGUGAGUAAUGUCUGGGAAACUGCCUGAUGGAGGGGGAUAACUACUGGAAACGGUAGCUAAUACCGCAUACCAUCGGAUGUGCCCAGAUGGGAUUAGCUAGUCGGUGGGGUAAAGGUUCACCUAGGCGACGAUCCCUAGCUGGUCUGAGAGGAUGACCAGCCAAACUGGAACUGAGGCACGGUCCAGAAUCCUACGGGGGGCGGCAGGGGGGAAUAUUGCACAAUGGGCGCAAGCCUGAUGCAGCCAUGCCGCGUGUAUGAAGAAGGCCUUGGGGUUGUAAAGUACUUUAAGCGGGGAGGCGUUGACCGCAGAAGAAGCACCGGCUAACUCCGUGCCAGCAGCCGCGGUAAUUC
rnacentral:rRNA from 1 species